rnacentral:lncRNA from 1 species
UCCUCCCAACAUAGUCUCCAUUUAUACUAUAUAUAAAAAAAAAAAAAGCUUUUGGUGAUAUUUCCCCCUAUAAGCUCACCAAUAGAAAUGAAAGGCUCGGUUGAAAUGGUUAGAAAAGAUUGACUUGUCACUUUUAUUUUAUGAAAAGACGGACUUAUGGCUUUUGUUAUGUGAAAAUACCGACUUAUGGCUUUUAUUAUGCGAAAAGACUGACUUCUGCCUUUCUUAUGCAUCUGUCUUUGGUCUUAAAAAAAAAGGAGAUAAAGAUAUAGAGUUUGGUGUUGAUGGGAUUAAAUGUGCACGCAAA